ACGCUGGCGGCGCACCUAAGACAUGCAAGUCGGACGAUCCCUUCGGGGAUAGUGGCGGACGGGUGAGUAACACGUGGGCGACCUGCCCCGCGGUGGGGGAUAACGGGGGGAAACCCUCGCUAAGACCGCAUGCGACUCCCUCCAUAGCGGGAAGGGGGGAAAUGCGAAAGCAGCCGCAGGAGGGGCCCGCGGCGGAUUAGCUAGUUGGUGGGGUAGCGGCCCACCAAGGCCGCGAUCCGUAGCUGGUCUGAGAGGACGGCCAGCCACACCGGGACUGAGAGACGGCCCGGACUCCUACGGGAGGCAGCAGUUAGGGAACUUUCUACACUGGGCUGCAAGCCUGAUGGAGUGACGCCGCGUGCGGGAGGAAGGCCUUCGGGUCGUAAACCGCUUUUGCGGGGGACGA
rnacentral:rRNA from 1 species